rnacentral:rRNA from 1 species
UAUCUCUGUAGAGUCUGCAUAUCAAUAAGCGGAGGAAAAGAAACUAACUAGGAUUCCCUUAGUAACGGCGAGUGAAGCGGGAAGAGCUCAGAUUUGAAAUCUUCAAGGUUUUACCUUGACGAAUUGUAGUUUAAAGAAGUGUUUUCUGUUGGUGUUUUGGUAAAAGUUCUUUGGAAUAGGACAUCAUAGAGGGUGAGAAUCCCGUAUUUGACCAUUACUUCCAGCGUUGUGAUACACUUUCAAAGAGUCGGAUUGUUUGGGAAUGCAGUCCAAAAUGGGUGGUAAAUUUCAUCUAAAGCUAAAUAUUGGCGAGAGACCGAUAGCGAACAAGUACCGUGAGGGAAAGAUGAAAAGAACUUUGAAAAGGAGAGUUAAACAGUACGUGAAAUUGUCAAAAGGGAAGCGUUUGACACCAGUGUUGUUUUCUCGAAAAUCAAUUAAAAAAAGUUGGAUUUUGUAUUGUUAAGACCUUAUCAGCUUACUGUACUCUUUUCUUGCUUUUUUUAAUGCACUUUUCGUUUAACAAGUCAACAUCAAUUUCUUUUGUUGUAAAAGAGUCAUUGGAAGGUGGCUUUCACUUCGGUGAAAGUGUUUAUAGCCUUUGGCUUCUGCAAUCGGAGAGAUUGAGGUCUGCAGCGUAGAUCCUUCGGGGCUAGAUACGUAGAUGCUAAGUUAUAGUUUUUUAUAGACAACUUGUUGACUAUAAUUAAUCAUGUAGCUUACUCGUUUGCGCUAUUUUACCUACGCUUAGGAUGUUGAUAUGCAUGACUGAUAU